AACCGUUGGAAGAGAACGCCGCCACGCGGGUGGUGUACUCACUAUUCGUCGUCACGGCGCCGUGACCAUCGUAUCGCUCGUUGGCUCGUUGUGUCUACGCUUGUUUUGCGAUGCGGAUCCGCCGGGGUGUCGAUAUCCGCGCACAACUUCUCACUGUUGGAAAGUUUCGAGAGGGAUUGCUCGUGGGACGAAGGCUGGAAAGUUCUGGGUUUUCAGUUUUUGUCGGUGGCGGUUGAUUGGAUAUUUUUUGAUGGAGGGAAGCAAGGGAACGAGGAUCGAGGUUAUUCGGUGGAAUUGAAGAGAUCUCGUGAAUCAAGUAAACUUUCAACUAUUCGAAACACGAUAAAUGAAAACGAGGAUGCAAUGUAAACAGGUCAGACGACAUGUAAACAGCGCCACUGCUGAUCGUCUGGAACUACGGAAUAGAUGAGCAUGCCUGUCAUAUCUCCGUAAGAAAUCUACCAUUAAUAUAUUUAACUUUGUACAACGUUAAAGAUACAAAACUUUCAAUUAUAUCAUCACGGUACGUUGUUUCGGGGAAAAAAUAACGACAAAACAAAAGGCAAUAAUAAUUACGAAGAUAAACGUUAAUGCAAUACAUGAAGCGUAUUAACUGCACAAUUUAUAAUUAAUAAUAUCGUGUUACAAUUAUCGGUCAGUAAAUAGACAAGAGGCGUAUCGAUAUUGUUACAAUAUUGUUUACCUGUGCCACCGAUGAAAAUAAAAGACGAAAUAUCCUGCGUUGAUUGAUUUGCAUCCCAACAAUCUCCGUCUCGAAUCGUAAAAAUAAUCGCUUCUCUCGCAUUAAAUGUCCUGAGCAAUUACAUCGUUCGAGGUUCAAAGUAUUAUACAACGAAUAUAGAUUUUUACUUGUUUUGAAAAAUACAAAAAUAUAACGUUAUACGAUACGGAUCAAAAUUUAUAAAAAACUGAAUUAAGGAUAUUUUACAUGUUCUUAUCAAUAUUAUGAUAAAGUAGAAUUUUAAAACGAAAAUUAUACUUUAAUUAUAAUAAUUUCGUCAAAGGAACCUUGAUAUUAAUUUAACUAAUUAAAAAUUAUUUAUUAUAUAUUUAUAAUUAAAUUUAUUAAGCCGUUUAUCUGAGUAGAUUUUAGCUAAAAAUGUCGAAGAUUGAAAAAAUAUUUAAAUAUCUUUUCUUUUUAGAUACACACCUAGAAAUUCACACAAAAAUUUUGUUAAACGUUUUCAACGUUACGAUAAAAAAAUAUUAAUGUAUAUUAAUUAUUAAUGUACAAGUAACGAAAAAUAUUUUACAAAAUUCUUUUUCAAUC